GCUGGGCGGCUUCUCUGAGCGCGCGGUGACUCGGCGCCGGGGGCGGGGGCGGGGGCGGGGGCGGGCUGGCGCCGGCCGCCCCGUCCCCUCCCCGCGCGGGAUCUUGUCCCUCAGCCCCGGGCCGAGCAAGGCGCGAGAGUCGUUGGCGCUACCCUGGCCCUCCCCGCUCGGCCGAGGGACCCCAGGGUCGCCGCUCCCCCGGACCCCUGCUCCCUGGGGGUGUGCGGGCAGCUCUCCUCUCAGGCCCCCGACGUGCCCUGAGGGGCACCGAGGGCCGCUCUGAAGGCCGGGGUUGCUCCGCGCACCCGAGACCUCGCGACCCGGCCGGUGCCCGGCCCGACUCGCCCCUUCCGGCGGCCUUCGGAUUCCUCGGCCUGGGGGCCCCGAGACGCUCUGGAAAGUUUUGAUUUGGGGCGGGGCAGGGACUCGAACUUGCCAAUCACUGACAGGUUGCGGAUUGAGGCCACAGAUUUCUGGAGGCAUUUGGGGGAUGUAAAGAGCAUCAGAGACAAAUUGGUGGUUGCAGUUAUUACUCUGUGGUUUUCACCUGAGGCUUGCACUCGGGGGAAACAGGAAAUGAGGAUUUGCAGCGUUUAUCCGGCAGAAGCUGAGAAGAUUGAAACCCAAGCUGCCCGCUCCCUCUCCAGUCUGUCACCCAAAGCAGAAACCUGGUGAAGGCCGUUGGAAACUCCGGAUAUGGAGGGACAGGAAGGAUGAGCUUCUCCUUAGAAUGCCUUUUUUUGUGUGGCCAUUGCUUUUGUCCCGUAUCAUUCUUGGAAAUAAUUAAGGAUUUUGUUUAUUCCUCUUUCUUCCCAGAGGACUCCCAGACCCCAAAUUGCAGUUGUCACUGGCCUGCUCGUUUCUCUCAGCCCUGGGAUUCCCUGAGUCACUGAUUGCAGGAGCUGAGAGAGACUUCAGGGAUUCUGGAGUGCCUCCUCAAGUGGGCACCAGCCUCUAUUUGAAACAUGCCCAGUGACAGGGCACUUCUUGUCUUCUGUUGGAGUGCUGGUUCAGGCUGUGCCCUCUGUCCCCGAAGCCGGCCAUCUCCAGCAUUUCCCAGUGGAGAGAUGGCUUCGCUUCACCUUGCAGCCCUAUGGAGAAUGCAUGCUUAGGCCCUUGGGUGUCUUAGAACCGGAGAAGGGACCUCUGUGGCUAAACCAGGGAUGGAGUCAGAGGUCAAGAGUGUUCAUGUAGUAGGUACAGGUUGAAUCCAGGGCACAGUGAAGGAUGAAGAACGUACCUGGAGGGCCAAAAGGAAGUAUCCAACACACCAUGCAGUCUUACUUCUGAUUUGAAGGAGAAACUGACUAGUGAAACAACCUGAGGGAUGGAGCUGUGAACAACGGAGCUGGCUGCCAUCUGCUUCUCUGGAAUCCUGUCUUGUGUAUAGUGGUUCCUCUCUCAGUGCGGAACGAAUGGGUCAACUGUGAUAGAGUUAGGUGGUAAAUCUCACGAAGGAGCCUCAGCUGUGUGAAUUCUCCAUGAGACUUGGAGGGAAGGCUAUAGGGACUGAAUGAUUUCUGUGGAGGCAAAUCCUAUGCCCAUUGAUAUCCCCCUGCUAGUUUGUAACAGGCCAGCCUCUUCAGGUUAAAAGAACAGAUAGGAUCAGGGGAGACCUUGGCCAUAACGUCAGUCCUUCUUCUCUGGAACCCAAGUUGGCUCAAAGCAUCCAUUCUCAAUAUCACCCAAGACAGACAGAUGACUGUGCCUUUCAACAGAUAGCGGGUGUGGGUUGGGAUGACUCACCUGCUCUGUUGCCGCCUACAGCUCAGCUCGAAGCCCUUGGGAAUCAACACACUCUCCUGAGAGAGGCACAGAAAGCUCUCCUUAGAGAUGGUAGCUUGGGUUCCUGCUUCUGCAAAUGUCUGUCACUGUCCUAAUGUUUAAAAGCUCAGGUCAGCGGGGCACCAUCCAACUGGACAGUCUUGGAAAACAGGUGGAAGAAGCACCCUCGAAGAUGGUGCCCUGAUCUGGGCAUUAGAAGACCUAGAUUUUAAUUGGGCUUUUCCAGUAGUUCACUGUGUGUCUAUAAAAGAAAGGCAUACGUUCUUCAAGUAAAAAAUUUUUCGAACAUCUACUCCCACCAGAUACUGUGCUAACUAAGGGCAGGGAGAGUGAUGAGCAAUCAAACCUAUCCCUACCCUUGAUGAUCUCGGUCUUUGUAAACACAUACAAAUCAGGGCAAUAAAUAUUAUCCUGAGGUGUUUGAGGAGCAUGGAAGAGAAAGUAACUAAUCCUCCCUAGGGGGAAUGAGCAAGUCAGGGAAGAUUUAACCGAGGAAAUGAUGCUUGAGUGAGUGCUUGAAAUUGGAAUUCUGGCCAAUGCAGAUGAGAGUAAGUAUACUGCAUCUCUGGAGAAUAUUAUGCAUUAUAGUGUCAGUGUCUUAUGUAGAGGGAUAAUGGUGAAGAAAGAAGGUAAGACAUGAAGGUAAAUCCUAGUUUAAUAGUGAAAGGCCUUAUCCUGAGGUUAGAGGGGAGACAUUGAACCAUUUGGGGCAGGGCAAGACAUGGUCAGAUCUAUGUUUUAGAAAGAUCACUCUGGCAGCAGUAUGGUGUGGUGAAUUGGAAGGGUCAAAGAUGAAGAGAGAGACACUGAUUAGAAGAGGUUUAGAAUCUCACAGGAAAGAAGUUUAAGGACUUUUACUGUGGAAUUAGAGAAGAAGUUUAGGCUAGAUGAUCCCUAAAACUAAAGUUCUUUGUUCCUGAACCCACCUGUAUCUUGGGUGGUUUUUGUUCCUGCCUCUUCCCCACCCCACUCCUAGUUGAUUACUUGAUUGCUUGCUUGUGCUCCAGUCUGGAGGUCUGUGACCUGUUUGGGUUUUGACCCUAUACAAUUUCCCUGUUUGUCAGUUCUGUUCACCCAGCACUUCAGAUGAGACCCCAGCUCCUUGGAAGCCAACUAGUAGAAAGCUGUUAUCUCACUCUCACCUCCAGUUCUGACUCGGCUCUUUGCUCUGGCCUUGAACCAAGGAACUCCACAUUGGCAAUAGCAUCUAUGCUAUCCAUCCCAUUACUCUUUCCUAAAGGAAGGAUGAGACACCAGUCUCAUAAGAUUUUGACAAGCAGGAAUCAGAAAAACUGAUUAAAGUCUAGUUUGGGACCUUGGUCCGAGAGAGAGCAGAAGGUGAACUACAGGGCAGAAAGGAAGGAGUAGCAAGUGGUCUCAGUCUCUUGGGUUGCCUCAAGUUGGGGGUAGGAUUCAGACUAGAUCUAGCCUCUAAGGGUCCAGGCUGGAUUCCAGCCAGCCUGGGUGUGAGGUUGGGGGCCGAGUGGCAUCUGAUGCUCUAUUUCCCAAAUGUCAUGACAUUUCUUCAGUCUGCAUCUUGUAACCGAGAAAUUAAGAAUUAACAAAUGAUUAUGAUUACUGAAUCAUUAUAUAGAUGUUUUUAUUUCUAUAUUGUAGAAAAGGCAGAAAUUAAUGCCUGAAAUUACUGAAUGUCAAUUAGUCUCACCCUUGUUUAUACUUACUAUUGUAGUGGUUAUUAUAGUGUAGUCUUAGCCUUUGCUUACACUUGCUAUUGUGAUAGUAUCGACUCUACCUUCCCUUGUUCAAAUUCCUAAAAUCCCUAAAAUCCUCAGACUUGGGGAGACAGAUUUUUAAGCUGAGAGGCGAUCUGAUCUCCUGCUUUGCUCACAGCAAUAAAUCUUUCUCUCUUUGAAACCCCAGUGUGAUAGAUUGGCUGUUAUGUGCAUUUGGCAAAGAAUCCCGCUUUUGUUCGCUAUCGGUUUGGCAACCCAUAUGGGACCAAGGGUCCCUAAGGAAUGAGGUGUCCAACUGCCCAAAGUCCUGGAGCCCCAGCAGGACAGGUAUGUGUGAUAAUCAAGCCGUUUGUGACUUCCAGACCUUGUUUGUUGUGGGGGUCGGAUUGGGUGCAGAAAGAUGGGAAGGGUGGCUUGGUUCAGAAUUCUUUCUAUUGAGCCUGGAGAUUAGAAAUGGUAGCCAUAGGGGAAGUGUUACAGAAUAAGCCAUGUUUGUUCUGAGACUUCUCAAAUUAAAAAAAAUUUUUUUUUCCAAUGAUACCUUUGCAAUGGUAGCUGUAGUAAAAAACAAUCCAUUAUUAAAGCAUAAAUGGCCUUGAAAUAGGGGUAAUUGAAUAAAAUCUAAUUGCCAAAUUUCAGUAAAUAAAGGAAAAUGUCCUUAGGAAGUAUAGAAAAGUUUUCCUGGAUUUAUGCUUGGAACAAAUUAAACAUUGUAGUAUAUUUUCCAGAACUUGAUAGUGUGCUUUCAAGGUUGUUCAUAAUUUUAGGAUAUUAUGAAAACAAAAAAGAAUUUUUAAACCACCAAUAGAAGAAAAUAAGGCAAAUAGAGCUACAAAAAAAUACAGUGACAAAGUCUAGUCCUAUUCCUGUUUUUUAUAAUACUUUUGAACCAAACAAAUACAAUUUUAUUCUCAUUGUGUAUGUUCUCCCUAGAUUUAUACAAGUUUACUAAUAAAAUAAACUAGCAUUGUAUCUAUUAGAUCUUUUUUUUUUUUAAUCUUCAUUUUAUUGAGAUAUAUUCACAUACCACGCAGUCAUACAAAACAAAUCGUACUUUCGAUUGUUUACAGUACCAUUACAUAG